AUCGGUUUGGAAUACAGACCUUAUGAAAGCAGUUUUAGUAAAGCAGUCCUCAGUUCAGGUGUUAUCUACAGAUAUCCUUCUUCAUGAGCCUCCUCCUAAGUGCCAAAUAAGUAACUCGAAUUACAGGCCAUCAUCGCCACUCUUAGUGGCUCAUCAAUAAAGGAAGUAUCUAUGUCUAAUAAAAUGACUGGUUUAGUAAAAUGGUUUAACGCAGAUAAAGGUUUUGGCUUUAUCACUCCGAACGACGGCAGCAAGGAUGUAUUCGUACAUUUCUCUGCUAUCCAGAGUGACAACUACAAAACGCUUGAUGAAGGUCAGCAAGUCUCCUUCACUAUUGAAAAUGGCGCUAAAGGCCCUGCAGCUGGAAACGUCACAGCGCUGUAAGCGUUGCUAAUUAUUAGCGACACUUACAAUAGCGAUGAAGGCAAUAGUCUG
rfam:Xenorhabdus khoisanae strain MCB contig045, whole genome shotgun sequence.